rnacentral:misc_RNA from 1 species
GCUGCGCGUCUGCGCGAGCCGAACGGCCCGUCCGAAGUCAGUCGGUAUUGGUCGGCCGAGCGGACGGUUCAGUCUGCGCGUAAUCGUGCAGCGUGACGCGAGCGCCGGCUCCGGGACAGCAUCUGCCGCUCUCGCGAGCGAGUUUCGGUUGACAUUUCGCCCCGUGAGAAACCCGUUGCCGAGUCUGCGCGCGCGCGUGUGCGGUCGGUAUGCGGGCAGCCCCGUUGGCUGGCCCUCGUUGGUGGUUGGUCCGGGCAUCCUCUCACACGUGCGUACGUGUGCGCGCGCAACUUGGCGUGUGCGUGGAUGGAUGUUCUCGUGUGUGUGUGGGUUUGAAAAUUUGAAAAGCGACGUGCGCGAGUGCAGCGUGUAAAGCGCACGGUGCAGGUGCCGCGGGAGGAAAACGCGAGAGAAGUGUCAUCCGCCUGUUCGUCCCCGCCGAUCGGAUCUCUCCUUUCUACGGAAAAGGGAUUCACGUGGCGGAGAGACCCCCGUUGAUCGUCGCACUACUAUUCGUCGUCGUCGGCGAUAUAACCCACAGCGGAAUGUGGCACGAGAGGCACCGCCGGCACCAUCUCGGGAGCCAUGCCGGCUGACGAGCUCGCGCGUAUCCGACGAGGAGACCGAGAUGGUAGAAAACCGAGCUUGCAGCCGCCUUAACGAACGCACGACCGACCGACCGACCGCAUCGUUGCCGCGAUAAAGAGAAGGAGAGAGAGUGAGAAAAAGACUCCCUUCGCGGACCGACCUGCGGAUCAUGCCCUUAACGAACCCGCUCGCGCCGCACGUUGUCGUCGCAUAGUUCCACGCUGCGAAUCCGAUAUGUGAGAGAACCGCCGCCUGGUGGAUGUCGUCGCCAUGGUGGAGCAACUGGUGUGCAGCAACUCGCUGAGCCCGGGAACGUAGCGCCCACGUAAGCCCUGGUUCGCAUAUAAACGUGCUCCUUCCAGUUGAGGAAUUAAUUGCGGAAGACGACGAGAAGAGGUAUUUCCGGCUCGAGAGCCGUUGGCGAUAAAUGACGUGCCUUUACGGCCUUAAGAUUACGAAGAUUGAAAUCGGGCCUAAAGAUCGAAAUCAACGACGAACUUGAUGCAACUUGCAAGCUUAACGAGCGAUAUAUUUCAUUGUGAAACAUUCGCGCAGCGUGAUGAAGAGAGAGGUGAUAUAUCUGACGCAUGAAGAAUCUAGCUUGAAAGGGAUAAAGUUGAUGUGCCACGUGUUAAUGUGACUUGAAAGGAUAUGACGAGUCUAAUCUGAGGAAGAUCGAAGCUAAUAAUCAAUGUGCUAUGCUUCGGUGUAAUUCAGUAGCCUCUUCCGUCACGUAGCCGUCAUGUGAGGAUCAUCGGCAUCGGGAGGAAAAGAGAAGAAGCCUCACCCCGCGUGACACCAGCGAGUGUCGAGUAAUGCUGAAGCACAUCUUGACGGGGCAGCCGUCGUCAACGGGCUCCAGGCAUCAUCAUAAUGAUUAUCAAACGAGCUCGGGCUCGUUGCACGGCGGGCACCAUCAUCACCACUUGCACAAUAACUCGCUGCACCAGGAGCAGCAGCAGCAACAGUCGCAGUCGCAACAGCAUCACCACUAUCAUCAUUACACCGGAGGCACCGGGACGACUCGCGGCAUCUCCGGACAUCGUAAUAACGGCGGAAUCGACGUGUACGACUCCGUGGCGCAGAGAUCGACGACGUCGAAUGCGCAUCAAUCGGCGACGACGCCCUCGUCGACCCACCGGCAUCCCUUGAAUCACUCCCAGCUGAGCGUCAACAAUCUGUCGCAACGCUUGAACCAUUCGCACGCGCUCAAUGUGUCGACGCUGUCGACCUCCAAGCACUCGGUCAACAGCGUCAGUCCAGUAGCCGGUGUUAAUGGUAACGGCGUCAGUAAUAAUAAUAAUAAUAAUAAUAAUAAUAAUAAUAAUAAUAAUAAUAAUAAUAAUAACAACAACAACAACAAUAACAACAACAACAACAACGUCUCGGUCGCGAGUCAGCUUGGCCAUACCGUGAUCUCGCAGACGAGCGUAUUGCAUCAAGAUCGACCGAAGGCGAAUGGCGGUCUCGACAUCUCCAGGCUGUCGCGGUUGCCGAGCCAAACCACGCCGUCACCCGCACCUGCCGCACCUGCGCUUCCUGUCGUGGCCGGCCAGGUAACCGGUGGGCCGACGGUGAUACCCCUCAAUGCCUCCUGGUCCUCGUCCCUGUCCAGGAAUCUCCAUCGAAACGACGAAGGUGUGAAAGAGAUGUUGACGAGCCUCGGACUAUUGUGCCUAGUGUCUCUACUUCUGGCCCUGCUCUCGGUUAUCUUCCUGCUGAAGAUCUCACCGCUCACGGUCACGUCCAACAGUCUCAUCAGCCCGGAGGAAUUCGUCAUCGUUUACGAGGUCACCCUAGCGCUGUGCGCUCUCGCCUUGUCGCUCAACUUGUGCUGCCUGCUGGUCUGCGCCAUACAAUUCCUCUUCACGGUGAAACUCGUCAAGACCUCGUACCAGGGACACCGGAGUAACAAGUACCUGCAAAAAUCGUCCGUCAGCCGCGUGUGCGCCGUCGGAGGUUUUUUCAUUAGCAUUCCGGUCUUCUUAACCGGCAUGAUUCUGUACACAUUCAUCCAAUUUCACUCGACACCGGCGAUCGUCACGUCGGUCUUCAUCGGCCUCGGCAUCGUGUUUUGCGGGUGCGCCAUGGUCCAUAACGUCUUCGUAUGGCAGAAAGAGAAGACGAACGCGGUGAAGGCGUUCGCUCGCGAACAGUGCGAGGCCGCGGCGCAGCUUCAGCGUCAACAGCAGCAGCAAACGCACUCGCAACACCAACAGCAGCAUCAACAUCAUCACCAGCAGCAGCACCAUCAUCAUCAACAUCAGCAGUCGCAGUUACGACCGACGCUGCACCCGGGCUCGAAGAUCGGCAGCGGCUCGAUAACGGUCCAUUCGACCGCCAGCCUGCUGGCCCAGUCGCCUCGCAGUCUCCAGCAUUCUUACCAGCAUCACCCUCAUCAGCACCAUCCUCACCAGCAGCGGCACGUGUCCUCCAUGUCGCCGCCUUUGUUACUAUCGUCCCCGCAUCCUGCGUCGCAGCUUAAUCACCUGACGCAUCGCGGUGCCGUCGCCGCCGCCGCCGCUGCCGCUGCCACGCCACCGACGACACCCGGCGACCGGUCGCCGCCGAGCCCCAGCGGCGGCGGAGGCAGCGGCAAACUCAACAGGUCGCAGCAUCUGCCGCGCGAGGCAAGCGGCAGCGUCAGCCCCGGCUUGCCAGCGGCCACGCUCGAUCUCAGCAGCGCCGCCACUACAAACAGUCCUCACGAACUGUCGACUCUCGUCUAGAGAUCUUGAUGGAACGUGAAAAUAAUUCCGAGAGAAAUUCAGGAAUCCAAUUUAUUCGAAGGAAGUGUUCUUUGUCCGAGCGAAGAGAUUAUCUUCUAAGCUCUACGAAUCGUUUGUAAAGAACGGAUUUUUAAAUUUGUUUGGAAAUAGACUUCACGUACUUUAGAUAGAUCUAGACUUAAAAAAUGUCGAAGAAGGGUAGAAAAAAUUUAUACGAGACUUUAUUAAUCUUAAUAUAUCAAUUAUAAAUGAAAGAUUUUUGCCUAAAUCAUGUAAUAUAAAUCUGUAUCUUUAGGAUCGAACAGAUAAACUCUGUGUGAAGCUAAAAUGUAAAAAAAGCUAAUUGUAAUUAAUGUAUAGAUAAAACUGAUGUUGUCUAGCAAGAAGGGAUCAAAAAUUGCCGACUAAGACUGCCAUUGUUUGUUUUAUUGUCGUAUCAUCAACGUUAUUGUCAAUUAAUAUUUAUUCUAUUACAAGAACAUAUAUAUUCCUGACUUGGUCCAUUGAAUUGUCAGAUCAGCUUGAUGAUGAUAAAUCCUCGCAAACUUUUUGCCCACCGAGUAUAUAAUAUCCACGAACCCUUGACCAGCAAUCGCCGGGAAAAUACCGCCCAGAGUCUUGUUGCCGGCAAUUUAUUUUUGGGGUUCGUGCGUUUGGCAGACUUAGUCCCGAGCUUAAACGUAACUAUACAUAACACUGUAAGUGGCGUGAGUGCAGAGAUUAAGGGACUGAGAAAGGGAAGAGUUUUGCGCCCUUUGUAACGCGUGCAACACGAAAUGCCGAAAGCAAAAAUGCCAGUUGACUGAAUUCUCCCGUAUAACUUUGUUGACCAUCAGUAAAAGCAUGAAAUACAAGGUUGAUAUUGUCAGUUUAACUAAUUUCUUCAAUCCAAAAGAUCGCAAAACAUUUUUGCUUCUUUUUCAUUGAGUUUACAUUAAUUAAUAUUACUGAUGUAAUUUUUAUUUUUAAUUGCCAAAAUUUGGUUGAAUAUCUUAUUGUAGCAAGUAAUUAUGUAAGAAUUUUCAAAAUUACCUUUUCAUUUCGUAGCUUUUACAAAAUUGGAAAUUGAAAAAUACUUCCUUAAUGAGCCUAAUGAAAUAUUUGAGAGAAUUUCUUUAGAAUUUAUUGAGCAAGAUUUCAUCAAUCGUGUCUUCGUCCAUAUUGUUCCGACAAUUACCAAUGGCUUUGGAACUUAUACUCUCAAAGCCACCGUCCUCAUAGUCCAGGUCGUUAUACCAGUAUUACUCUCAUAUAAAUUUUUUUAUUUCUUCCCACCGGUACAUAGUUCUCACAUAGUCAGAAUGUCCAAACUGUCUUAAUCCUGCUAGUAUUGUAACUAACGUGAUUUAAUGACUUGCCGAUAGAGUUAGUUCCUGUUGACCUUGACGAGCUAUACAUUUUUUUGCAUACCACUACAAUAUUCUUGAGCAGGUUUCGCUUGCUCAACUAUUUGUCAAUGUGUUUGGAGGAACCGUAUACAUACAUAUACAUUAUAUAUAUGUAUACAUGAUAUUCUCAGAGAAAUUCCACACUACGUUCAUGUAACGCGAGGAUCCUUUCGCCGAACGAAACUUGCCGAUUUAUGCUUUCUUUACGGGUCGUAUAUCCCGCUAUCAGCAGCGAGAGCAGCAACAGGUUCCUGUAACCUGUUGCGCAACGUUGAUGAAAAAAUUCCUUAUACCAAAUGCACGUUGCAUUUGUGCGUCGUAACCAGAAUGAAAUUCCUGCGGUUUCCGAUAUUGAAAAUAUAAUGUUUUAAUAAAAUUUCAACAAACGAAAUAUUUCAUUUAUUGAAAUAUAUACUUUUAUAAACAAAAAGUCUUUUUAGUAUAAUUCAAAUUUAUAUUGUAAAUAUGCACAUGUAUAUUCAUGCACGUUGCGCAAUGUUGACGAAAAAUCCUUUCUACCGAAUAUAUGUUGCAUUUGCCUAUUUUAUGAUAUUAUUCUGAUAAUAUAUAUCAAGAAAAACCAGAAUGAAAUUCUUGUGGUUUAUCAUAUCGAGAAUAUAAAGAUCUAGUAAAAUUUUGAUAAGUAGAUUUCAUUCCUUGGAAUAUAUGUACCUUUACAAACAAGAAUUCUUUUUGGCACGAUUCAAAUUUAUAAGAUAAAUAUACAUAUGCAUAUAUACACAUGUAGGCAAAAGUAUACUGGUUUUAUAUUCGUUUGUCUAUAUUGUUUGUUAAGAUAUUUUAGAAUUAAUAAAAAACGCAAUAAGAGCAUUAAAGAUUGUUAAAAAAUUGUUGCCACACGAUGUAUAUCAAUGUCAAUUAAUGCUUUGAAACAAAACGGAACGUUUUGAUAUAUGUCAUUAAAACAUUAUUUCUAAUUUCAACGCCUUUUGGCAAGAUAAUUUCUUCCCUUUUUUAAAUGGAAGAAGUUAUCUUGCCAAACAGCAUUGAAGUUAGGAAUACAUCAAAAUGAAAAAUAUUAAUCAAAUCCAUUCAUAUUUCAGUCGAGUAGGUUCUUCCUUAAAAAAGGAAUAUUUUAUAAAUAUUAUUUAUAUUUUAUAAAUAUUAUAUCGUUUAGUUACGAGUCCAGAAAUUACAUAGGUAUAAAAUAUGUGAUAAUUUCAAUGAAAGUUAUUCUAGUGACUUUAAUAAGAUAAGUAAAAAAAUAAAUAAAAAUAAAUAUGGACGUAGCAUUAUCUGGUAUUGAAUCUAUAAAAAAAAUUUUGAAACAAGAUCUAUGUUAAGAUAAUUUGGUAGUACAAUGACAUCAUUACAUCGGCUA